rnacentral:rRNA from 1 species
GACGAACGCUGGCGGCGUGCCUAAUACAUGCAAGUCGAACGAGAGCGACCGGUGCUUGCUCUGGUCAAUCUAGUGGCGAACGGGUGAGUAACACGUGGGUAACCUGCCCAUCAGAGGGGGAUAACAUCCGGAAACGGAUGCUAAAACCGCAUAGGUCUUCGAGCCGCAUGGCUUGAAGAGGAAAAGAGGCGCAAGCUUCUGCUGAUGGAUGGACCCGCGGUGCAUUAGCUAGUUGGUGAGGUAACGGCUCACCAAGGCCGUGAUGCAUAGCCGACCUGAGAGGGUGAUCGGCCACAUUGGGACUGAGACACGGCCCAAACUCCGACAGGAGGCAGCAGUAGGGAAUCUUCCGCAAUGGACGCAAGUCUGACGGAGCAACGCCACGUGGGUGAAGAAGGUUUUCGGAUCGUAAAACUCUGUUGUUAGUGAAGAACAAGUGCUAGAGUAACUGUUAGCGCCUUGACGGUAUCUAAACAGAAAGCCACGGCUAACUACGUG